rnacentral:lncRNA from 1 species
UGAGAAUGCAAUACAAAUCCAAGAGAGAAAAACACAAUUACACGAAAAGUGUUUUUUGUUCUUCUAAUUUGAGUUGAGAUUUUUGAGAGAAAUAUCAACACAAUAUUCUUCGUUCAAUUUGUUCACGGGUUUCAUUGAUCAAAGAGUUGAUAGCAAGGAUCGGUCUCGCUGUGGAUACGCAUAGAGUCUUCGCACUAUCGAAGAAAUUCUGAAAA